CUUGCGUUGGUAGUGUUGGUGUAAGCGCCGAUGCCGCCGGUGUCUGCGCCCUGGGUGAAGCCGUCGUCCUUGCCGACGGCGAGAGC
rnacentral:tRNA from 1 species